rnacentral:lncRNA from 1 species
AAGGAAUAUAAAUGGCUUGUCCUGAGAAAUGAGUGCUAUGGCUGCCUGGACUAUAAGCCCUAGAAGUAAAAACCUAUGGAAAGCUACACCACUACACCGAGCGGCAACAAGAGCAAGCAAAAUCCACUUAAGGUUUUAGUAUCUGUGAUUACUUUGUGUGUUCUCUACCUCCAGCGGUAAGAAACGAUUUCUCCUUCUACUCCAUGUGUGGGUUGCAUUUGGAUUGCUUUUCUAAAGUGUGCCUCUCUUUGUAAGAUUUUAAGUUGGGGGCAUCUGGGUACCUUUAUUCCAGUACAUCUUGUUUAUCUUCUAUUCUCAGCUCUGCAGCCUCGUUCUCCUCUCCCGGCCUAGCUUUUAGGAAGGGAAGGAUCCAGGAGAGCCAUCUAGUGAGAAGAGCAUUACCACUAAAACUGUAGUGCGUUGGAGCGUCAGAGAAAGAUCUUAAGGACUGUGUCCAGGCCAGUUUACUCUCUUUGUCCUCUGGGAAAAUUGCUCCAGCAGAGGACCUGACAGGAGAAUGCGGAGACCGUUGUUUGCACCACUUUACAGAUUUGUGUAAGACUAUUUGGGGACUUUAAGGACUCCAGCGGGAGGAGAAGAGGCCAAGAACCUCCCGCAGUGGAUGCAGGUGCGAUUCUGGGAAGGCAGCUGCAACUUUUCUCUUUUUAUUUCUUACAGAUUUGUGUGACCAAAGGGGCAUCACCGGCCUCCUGGUUUCUGGGCAGAUAAAAAGUGGAAAACCCGGAAGGUUUUCACACUUCUGGCUUCCCGGAAACACGGGAGGAAAUCAAGGGCAGCACUCGCCCGAGCAUGGCUCUGCAUUAGACUGACGACCUUGGACUGAAACUGCCCUGUGUCCAAACAAGGGCGAAGACAUGAUCAGCCCUCUGGUUAUUUUCACCCAUGUGAAGAGGCACUUGGCAUCUUGGAUUCACACCAGCCCUGGCCAUGGGAAGAAGCCGUGUGUUGAUUGAAGCAGUCUGAGACCGGUGAUUUGGAGAAGUAGAAAAACAAACUAGGUGCCCUGACCAGACCCACCCGUAGCUCCAUAUGCUGUUUUCCUGCCACUCAGCGUCUGAUGGAUGAGAGAAGGUGGCUCCUGAGGAGAGGAAGGUGGGGGGGGGGGGGGGACGGGGACUGCAGGUGCUCCAAAUUAGGAAUAAUUCUGCAGAUUAGCCUAAUGAAGUCAAAAAGUUAAUUUGUAGCUGCCAGCUGUUGAGCAGUAAGUUACAAAGUGCCACAGCCCCUCUACAGCUCAGCGCAGGGAAUGCAAAAAGGCAAAGGGAGUAACUGAGAGGACUUGGAAGAAACACCUGCUAAGGCGUCAUCUGGGAGGAGCUCCGCAGUCGCCAGGUGGCCUCAUGGACAAAGAGAUCAUAGAAAUAAUGACUGUUGGUGACCUGGGCUUGUGUAGGGGUGGGGGGUGGGGUGCGGGGUGGGGUGCGGGGCACUGCUGUCCUUGCUUAGAGCACCGGAACUGAUUCCUAGCUUAGAAAACAGUUGUCAAUUGGUGUGAAGCUUGUAGAUUCCUUUAGCACAAGGAUAGCAGGGUUCAGAAUAAUAGUUCUCCCCUCUCCCCUGACAAUUUACACUUGGUACACUCACUCUCCGUCAUCCCUGUUCCUCCUCCCAAUCUGUAAAUUUAACUAGCUCAUCUGGGAAGAGAUAAAAGCAAAUUGUGGUUUGCCACACUGGAAGGAGAUUACCUUCCUCCCCAGCACAGUGGUGGGUCCUGGGUACUGUGAGCUCUUAGGGGCAGCGUGGUUGCUCAUCUCUGUGUAAGUCUUACUGAAGGCCAUUCUGCACGCGGCUGUUAUGUAUCUAGCUUUUUACUCUUAAAAAAAAAAAAGGCUGGAAGAAUGAGAAGACAGCAAGCUGCACUGUGCUUCAGGACGCGCACAAGAGAAACUACAGGAUGUAACCGCUCUUUCCUUGGGAAGGGUCGCUAUAAACCCACAGAUAAUGCGGACACUGCAUUCAAUAGACCUCGACGAUGCAGCUUGCGUUCAUGGGGCCUGCUCGUGUCUGUCCUUCCAAACAUUCAGACAGUUUCAAGUGCGGGGAAAUAAAACCAAAACCCAUAGAUCUAAAUAAAUAUCUACUGAAUGAAUUAAAAGCUGCUCUCUAGAUAGGCGCUCUCAUCACCAACCCUACUUUCCCAUUAUCCUUCCCUCAGACACAGAAAGCUGUUCACAGCCUGUAUUGGAGCACUUAAUCAUCCCCAAAUUUCUUUAAUUGCCUUCUCUCCUUCUCGGCCCUGAACACUCCUCCUAAAACUGUUGCAGCUAACUCAAAUGCUUAUUUAACUGGCCGACUGACUGGCUCUGGACCCGACUUUGGCUCUUAACCUCAGUAGAGAAAAAUGCUUCCAUUAGAGACUGGUCAUAUGGGGGAAAAAAGCCCCUUGAUUGUUGGAAAGUUAUGUAAUGUUGUGGUUGUAAACUUGGGUCUUAAUAUCCAGCUGGUGAUUGAAUCUGUAAUCAGAGACUCUAUCGAGUGAUUUAGGGACUCAGUAAAUGAAUUGUUGACGCCUUGGAAGGUUUUCUCUGGCACUGGAGACCCCACCAGCUGUACCCUUUGCAAUGGCAACUGAAAGUUUGGUAGCAUGAGGCUACUGCCAGGCACUUGGCAUGGAGCCGCUCGUUAUGUCCUCCCCACCAUUCUAUAAUGCUGAUCUCCUCAUGUGAACAAUGGGGGACAACAGUCGUUUAUUCAAAAAAGGGAAAAAUGAGGUUUUCAGAAAGUGAGCUAGGUUUCUGUCAGUAUAUAAAAUAUCCAGAUAAUCUAUUUACAAAGAGACAAAGUUUACUUUCCCUUGCAGUUUUGGAGGCUCUAGCCCAUCACUGGCCUGUUGCUUUGGGGCCCGUGGUGAGAGGGGUGUGGGGGUAGCAUGCAGCCUAGCGGUGAUCUCCUGCUGUAGAGAGAAGAGACAGAGUGGAGAGGAAGGGAAUGGAGUCCCACCGUCCUCUUUUGAGAGCAUGUUCUAAGUGACUGGAGACCUUUUCAUUAUGCUUCAUCUUGAAAGGCUCACAAAGGAAUACGCACUUAACAGGGACACACUGAGGAGGCACAGACAGGGCAGACUUCAGCAGAGAGAUGAAGUGAAUUGCUCAAGUUUAUCCAGCUUGUAGAAUGGUGCCACUGUUGCUUGAGCCCAAGACCAACUAGAUCGUAAAACCUAUUUCGUUUGAGCUUUUGAGAUUCCCAUCAAUUUGGGCAAGAGAGAUAGCUAGGAAAACAUCAUAAUUGCUGUAACAAAAUUCAAAAUUACACUACAAAGAGAACCACCUCUGUCAUCAUGCCAUUCCUCUUUUAGCUACAGUUAACCACGAGAUAAUCACGGAGCUUUAAAAGUCCAGCGCUAUGCGUGCACAUUCAAUUCAUGUGCUCAACAAACGAUGUCACAAAACACCUCAUGAAGUAGAUUCUCACUUUCAGAAGUGGAUGCGGUUACAAAACUGGAGCCCUCAGAUGGUCUGACACUUCAUACAAUGAAAGCCACACAGACUGUUGUGGCCACAAACAGAUUGCCAGUUGGAAGUUGGCCAAGACAUUCUAGGUGCAUGCUGCAAUUGCAGUAAGGUAACAGAACUGAAAAGGCAACUAAUGCUAACCACUAGUGCCAGGAAAAUUUGUUUGUAAAUAGAUGUGGAUGCUGUCGCUAAGAUUACUGGGAUCUUUAAUUAAAUAAGACAACUUUACAGCAUGAAAGUUCAUUAAAACUUGCAAUCAGCAAUUGAUUGGUAGCAAUUUUGAUUAAGUGUUGUGGUCCAAUUAGCUAGAACUAGUUGACAUGGCCUUAAAGUUAUUAAUACUGAUUUAUAAGACAUUGUUAAAAAUUAAUAUUUUCCAUAUAGCUGAAGCAAAAUUAUUGAAAAAUAUUAAAUAUAGGCCCAAACUUGAGGCUGCAUUGCUCAAUCAUUAAAACAAACAUUACAAAUUACAUUCACUCACAAUAGUAUUGUGUAUAAUAUUAUUUAAAUUAAUGAUAUUAUUUUGAGUUUUAUUGAUUUUCCAGUGUUGUUUUAUAUUUAAUUUAUAAACUUUCUUUGGGCUCUCAUGAGUUAUAAACAUAAGAAAUAAAUUAAAUUAUAUACCAAUAAAUAUUAAAUAGCAUUUGACAAAAUAACUGAAAUGAAUGUUCAGAAUUUAGAAAACUUUUAUUUUCUCUUUAAAAAUUACCAUUAAAUGUCAACUUUGAAAGAAAAUGCAGGCUUGUACUACUUUCUUUAGAACAAAACAAUGCAACAUUGGAAUCUAAGCAUUAAAAAUGAAACAAGUUGAAAAAAGUUGGGAUUAAAUAAGUAUCAUGUGCAAACUUAAUAUCCUGGUUAGAGAAACUACAGUUUUGUUCAUUUUUAAGUUGAUCCAAUGAUAGGAACAGAAAUUAUCUUCAGAAAGAGAAAAAUUGACAAGAAGGUAUGCUUAUACAGACAGAUAGGAAAGAAACAGAAACAAAAAUGUUCAUUUUUUAAAAAAUGUUGAUGGUAUCCUCAGUGCAAAUAUUAAUUUUUGUAUUGUCUUUUUGAUAUUUUAUACACUGUUCAUUUAUUUUUAAUAAACCAUUUCUACAAUGAAUAAAGCAAUAAGCAAAUAUAA